UACGUAGGAGGCGAGCGUUGUCCGGAGUUACUGGGCGUAAAGCGCACGCAGGCGGUCCGCUAAGUCUCAGGUGACAGUCCCCGGCUUAACUGGGGAAGUGUCUGGGAAACUGACGGACUUGAGGGCUUCAGAGGGACAGGGAAUUCCGGGUGUAGUGGUGAAAUGCGUAGAUAUCAUUUGGAACGCCAAUGGUGAAAACAGGUAGCUGGGGCUGUGCUGACACUGAGACACGAAAGCCAGGGGAGCAAACGGG
rnacentral:rRNA from 1 species